GGCUCUGUGCCCACAUUGACUUCCUCCGUGACUUCUUUUCCAAGCUCUCCCAACACUGGAGAUCAAAGAACUGUCCUUGCUAUCACUGGUCCCAGCCAGCAGAGCAAACUGGAAACCACAUGACAGUUUCAGACUGCUGUUGACUGUGGGUAACAGAAAGUGAAACUGUGGAUAAAGAGAGACCCCAUAGAACAUCCAAGGCUCUACUCAAAGCCACAAGAUGUUCCAUCUGAAGGACCUGAGGUCUCCUCCAUCCUACCAUGGUGACAACCUGCCUUGUCCUGAAGCCAAGAGUAUCUCUCAGAGCCCAAUGGAUGAAGCUUACCUGGGAGCUGGGACUAGGGGAGGUCAACAGAGGAUGGAAAGACUGAGGGUGUGUGGGGAAGUGGAAAUGGGCAGGGCUUCUUUGUGGGCUAAAUAGUAACUUGAAAAGAAUAGCAAGAAUAAAGUUUUGCACAAGUAUACAAACUCUGUGUAUCUGUGAUUAUCAUUGUAAUAAGAGAGCUUUCAGGUAAUGAACUGAACUAGUCCACUGUUGUAAACACUGCAUUACGGGCGAAGUUGGCCGUUCAUAUUUCUCAAGGAAGCUUGGCCUUUAUUCUGAUGGAAGUUGUGUUUCCUUCCUGGGAAAAUCUAACUGGGAAAAAAAUGUCUGCUGAACUCCUUUGCAGACUUGUAGAUGGUUUCUGAGUCACAUUUUGAGUAGUACCAAACUAGGAAACCACUAAAGUGGUUGAAAUUAAGCACAAAGAGUUGGAGUUCUGACAUCAGGC
rnacentral:lncRNA from 1 species